AAUAGAUACCCGGGUAGUCCAUGCCGUAAACGUUGGGAACUAGAUGUAGGGCCUGUUCCACGGGUUCUGUGUCGUAGCUAACGCAUUAAGUUCCCCGCCUGGGGAGUACGGCCGCAAGGCUAAAACUCAAAGGAAUUGACGGGGGCCCGCACAAGCGGCGGAGCAUGCGGAUUAAUUCGAUGCAACGCGAAGAACCUUACCAAGGCUUGACAUAUAGCAGAACACCGUAGAAAUACGGGACUCUUUGGACACUGUUAUACAGGUGGUGCAUGGUUGUCGUCAGCUCGUGUCGUGAGAUGUUCGGUUAAGUCCGGCAACGAGCGCAACCCUCGUCCUAUGUUGCCAGCACGUUAUGGUGGGAACUCAUGGGAUACUGCCGUGGUCAACACGGAGGAAGGUGGGGAUGACGUCAAAUCAUCAUGCCCCUUAUGUCUUGGGCUUCACGCAUGCUACAAUGGCCGGUACAAUGGGCUGCGAUACCGUAAGGUGGAGCGAAUCCCAAAAAGCCGGUCUCAGUUCGGAUUGGGGUCUGCAACUCGACCCC
rnacentral:rRNA from 1 species